AACAUGGAGAGUUUGAUCCUGGCUCAGGAUGAACGCUGGCGGUCUGCUUAACACAUGCAAGUCGAACGGAGGUCUUCGGACCUUAGUGGCGGACGGGUGAGUAACGCGUGAGAAUCUGGCCUCAGGACGGGGACAACGACUGGAAACGGUCGCUAAUACCCGAUGUGCCGAAAGGUGAAAGGAUUAAUUGCCUGAGGAUGAGCUCGCGUCUGAUUAGCUAGUUGGAGGGGUAAAGGCCCACCAAGGCGACGAUCAGUAGCUGGUCUGAGAGGAUGAUCAGCCACACUGGGACUGAGACACGGCCCAGACUCCUACGGGAGGCAGCAGUGGGGAAUUUUCCGCAAUGGGCGAAAGCCUGACGGAGCAAGACCGCGUGAGGGAAGACGGCCUACUGGUUGUAAACCUCUUUUGAUAGGGAAGAACACAAUGACGGUACCUAUCGAAUCAGCCUCGGCUAACUCCGUGCCAGCAGCCGCGGUAAUACGGAGGAGGCAAGCGUUAUCCGGAAUUAUUGGGCGUAAAGCGUCCGUAGGUGGAUAUUCAAGUCAGUUGUUAAAGCGUGGAGCUUAACUCCAUAAAGGCAAUUGAAACUGAAUGUCUAGAGUGCGAUAGGGGCAAGGGGAAUUCCC
rnacentral:rRNA from 1 species